UACAGAGGGGGCAAGCGUUGUUCGGAAUUACUGGGCGUAAAGGGCGCGUAGGCGGCCCGUUAAGUCGAACGUGAAAUCCCUGGGCUCAACCCAGGAACUGCGUCCGAUACUGGAAGGCUUGAAUCCGGGAGAGGGAUGCGGAAUUCCAGGUGUAGCGGUGAAAUGCGUAGAUAUCUGGAGGAACACCGGUGGCGAAGGCGGCAUCCUGGACCGGCAUUGACGCUGAGGCGCGAAAGCCAGGGGAGCAAACGGG
rnacentral:rRNA from 1 species